ACUCUGCCAAGUCUGCUCCUGGGCAAGGACACAGAACUGGGUUCCUUUUGUCCUUCCAUCGGGGCCUCUAAAAAAAACCCUUGGAUCAGCAUAGCUCUCAUCAAUGAACAACUUUGUAAAAGGAGGUCGUGUUUCCUCUGGAAAGGUUUGCUUGACCCUUUGGAAGAAAGAAAAUCUUCCUGAAGAGAAAAGGAAACGCUCCACCUCACGUUGGCUUACGUUGGCAUCCUGUUUCUCUAAGCUCCAAGCGUUCCCGUGAAUGGCACUUACAGCUGUAGACUGGCCUUCGGUGAACUCGUUUGAACUUGGGCUCCCAGAACCGACCUAAGUGUUCAUACUGAUUUCUCCUUUCGCCCUGAAUGAAAAUUCAUCAUGCUCGUGUGACCUGAGCGACUAGGCCAUUGGACCACAUCUAGAAGACUUACCAGGUUAACUUGCUACAUUGCCCAUAUGGAAAACUUUAAAUCUUAACCAUUCCUGAGAGGAGACAUCAGCAUUUCCAUUCUCUAAUUUUUAUAGUUAGUAAAAGUCAAGUGAUUUUUAUUAUCUUUGCACUGUUUGAUUCAUGUGAAGUUCAUCCAUUUUUUGUCUUUGUUGAUCAAUAUUCUUACAGUACUUUAUAAUUACUUGUGAUUUGCAGCUUACGGUGUAAAAACAGUAAUUGUGUUUUAGUUGUUUUUCCUUCUAUUUCUUUUACACAUGCUAUAUUUUGGACACUGUCAGUAGUACCAAUAAUAAAUUGAAU
rnacentral:lncRNA from 1 species